rnacentral:rRNA from 1 species
UACAGAGGAUGCAAGCGUUAUCCGGAAUGAUUGGGCGUAAAGCGUCUGUAGGUGGCUUUUUAAGUCCGCCGUCAAAUCCCAGGGCUCAACUCUGGACAGGCGGUGGAAACUACCAAGCUGGAGUACGGUAGGGGCAGAGGGAAUUUCCGGUGGAGCGGUGAAAUGCGUAGAGAUCGGAAAGAACACCCAGGGGGAAACCAGCCGACUGGGGAUGUGCUGACGCUGAGGUGCGAGAGCGUGGGGAGCGAACCGG